UCUCGUAAACCGCGAUAGCUGGACAUAACCCAUGGCUUCUCAAACAUACGUUUUACUCAGUUGAGGAGUUCUACAAGAUGCCAGUUAUUUGACUAGAAAUUUUAUCUUCAUCGCAAAUUAAAACAAUAUAAUACUUGAAAAUUGUCGAUAGUGAUUCAACAGGUAAAUAAGAAAAGGUUGGAUAAGAGUAAAAGCUUUAAGGCUUUAAGGCUGAAUGAGAAUCGUUUCACAGUCGAGAAUUUGACAAGAAGGUUCUAGAAGAAAAUCAUAUACUGAAACCACGGAAUGAUCCUUUUGUUGUUGAGUAUUUGUAUACCGCUUAGAUCUCAAGAAGAAUAAUUUAAAAGAAUCACUUUUAAAAAUACACUCCUCGAGCAUUGAGUUACCAGUCAUAGACUGUCGUCGGUAAAACAAGGAGGCUAACUAACAUGAGAAUACAUGAGAAAUCUUACCUAGUAAUUAGUGCUCUGAGAAGGGAAGGAAUGAAAUUCUUGAUUUUGACGAAGUAAAUCAUCAUGAAAAUAAGCAAACUGUCAGAACACCGAUACAUAACGGAAGUUUCAAUACAUGCAUUCCCUAAGUAUCAAAGUAUUUCGACAUUAAAAUUAAUCUGAUCUUGACAAAAACCUAAUUUUAUGAUGGUCCAUGCUUGCACCCCCCAGUAUUUGGAAAAGAACAUUCAUUUGGAUUGGGCAGCUAUACGUCGUAACCUCACCCUUUACAACAUAGAACGUUAUGAAUCGAUGAGUGAGAUCGGUGC